CAGACUGGGUCCCUUUUCUUGUGGCUUGCUGGAGGUGGUUCUGGUCAACAGCCCUGGAGACUGAGGCUGAGAAGAAUCUAUGGACUCUGAUACAGGCACCCUGUGGUCGAUGAGGAUGGAACAAUCACAGUGAGGUAGAGACGGGUAGGAGCCCAUUCACCAUCAAGGGCUCAGUGGAUGUAUUUGUGUAAUGGAAAGUGAGACUGGCAUUACAAUUAGAUCUCUGAGAUUUGUAAGGUUGGCUGAGCUCUUUCACGUUGGCUAAUUGAUGUCUAAGAUACCUGUAUCACAUUUUAAAGUCCGAAAAAUGUCUCUGAAAAGAGAAGGAAUAGUGUUUGCGUGGAGAGGAAGGAUGCCAGUCCUCCAGCAGAUGAUCCAGAGUACUUGGUGGCCUAAUCCAGAAGGAGAGUCAGUGUCGUGUGUUAACCAUGGUUGGAACAACAAGAACAACAAAAAACACCGGCAAGUUAGAAGAGUUUCUUUGGAGGGAGAAAAGAAAGUAAACAUCAGUGGAGUCUAGGCAGGCAUUUUCCCUUCCGUGGCUUAUAGAAUCAUCCAAACAUCCACUCCUGGUCCUGGCUAAUUGACUCAGAGGAUUAUUCCAGGUGGCUAUGAUUCUCACCAUCUGCUUUGAACGCUCUCUCCAGUCUGGUCUCCCAGAUUCCUCUGCCACUGGCAUCAUUCCUUGGAAGCUUUCUCUCUGCCUAGCCCCAACAGAUUGAUUACCUAUUUGGACAAUCACCGUAACAUGUGCUGCUUCUCAAACUACCCUGAUGGCAACUGUGACCGGCAGUGACUGGUGGCCCACCUUUCGACAUAGCUUCCAGGACACUGACUCUGCUUGCUUCGAGGGGUGGUAUUGAGAAUUCAUGACAUGUUCUUACGUUAAGUGAAUUUUGUGUCCAAAUUUCUCAUGACGACUUAGACAUAAUUAAAACAGUGGUAAAAAAUUUUAAUACGCAGGACCAUAUAAGGAUAAAGUGUAAAGGCUAGAGGAUAAAAAUGUUAAGCAUUUAUGAUGUUUGAUAAUCAACACAGUUAUAUGGUGAUAUGAAAAUGUAGCUCCCUUUAGAAGAUAACUUUCUGGUGUUUAAUCUCCCAUAUUUUGGAAAAAAAUUGGCUAUUUUCCUGAGUUCUUCUAUUUAUCGAGUCGUUAUUAUGCCUUCUGUAAUGUAGGAGUAUGCUUGGUUAAAAUCAUCAUUAUCUUGGAGAUCUACUGGUUUUUUGGGUUAAUUCGAAAGUAGGAAACAAUUAAGCUUUGACCGCUGGAGUUCCUUAGAGGCCCGGGUUGCAAACCUGAUUCUGCCUACUUUUUAGGGAAAAAUAAUUGUUUUGUAUUAUCAGAUUUUUCAUCUAGUACCGAAAUUCAAUGAGCAUGCUAGUACUUUAUAUUGCUGUGUAAUUCAUACUGGGGAUACCAUUCUUCAUUUAUCACAGAUGUUUGGAUAACCUUUACUUUAUGAUGGAAGCGGUACAGCGCUUAGAGUCAGAAACCUCUGGAAUUCAUUUCUUCCUCUGUCAAUAAUUUGUGCUGUCACCUUGAGAAAUUAUGCCAUUUUCAGACCUUUAAUUUCUGCCUCUGUAAAUAUGGUCCAUUGCUCUCAUUCUUAAAGUAGACAUAACCAUUUACAUUAAGAUACAGCCUAAAAUUAUAAAAUUGACUUUAUUUUAGUUUCACAGCAAUGUUAAAUAUACAGACAAUUUGCUUAGUAAUUUUUUUCCUGUAGCUUUUCUUCAAUGAUGUUUUAGCAAAGAGAAACUUUUACUAGAAUAGUUACAUACAUGCCAACAGUUCUAUUUUAAAGUGUUUUCUGGCCUUUGUUUUAUGAAAAUUCUAUGCGUUACCAGUAUGCAGUAUAAGCAAAAGACAGAACAAACUCCAGGGCAAUCUAUCAUCAUUUAUGUAAAAAAUGAGGGUUUAACAUAUCAGAAAUUCUUAAACUGUAUUCUUUCAAAUUCCAUUCACACAUGGCCAUUGCCUCGUAAAUGAGAGAUCAUCAUUUACUAAGUCACCACUGUUCUUGCAAUCUAUUUGAAAACAACUUGAUUGAACUAUUUAUUUCUAUUUCAUCAAUAUCAUUAAAGAAAUGAU